AAAAAAGAUAGUGGGGAAAACUAUUAAACUAAGAAUGGUGCUCACACCUUUAUAGAUUGAUCUUCUUUUCAGAGAACCACACACAUGGCGACACAGUCCACUACCAACACGUCCUAAAGUCAUUGUUCCUCUCAGGUGUUCUGCUUCUUUUCUUUUCUUUUCUUUCCUUUCUUCUUAAACACCAUUUUUCCAUAUUAAAAUUUUAUCGACGCCUCAGUUUUUGCUGAAAUGAACAACAUUAAAUCAUCCAUAGACGACGAUCCACAACUGCAAAACUAUUUCUUCAAAUAUAAUCCGUUUUUGUAACCCGGUGUUUCUUUAAUCCAUAAUUUUGUACUUUAAUGCUUUAAACAUGAACUAUUUGUGCCAAUCAUCUUUUUUGGUAAAGCAAAUAAUAGAGGUAUAAAGAAAAAAAGUCCCCUAUUUUUGGAAAAAUAAAAAGGAAAACCUCUGAAGACACUAUCCAAUGAAAAAGAUGC
rnacentral:sRNA from 1 species